rnacentral:rRNA from 1 species
CCUACGGGAGGCAGCAGUGGGGAAUAUUGCACAAUGGGGGGAACCCUGAUGCAGCGACGCCGCGUGAGUGAAGAAGUAUUUCGGUAUGUAAAGCUCUAUCAGCAGGGAAGAAAAUGACGGUACCUGACUAAGAAGCCCCGGCUAACUACGUGCCAGCAGCCGCGGUAAUACGUAGGGGGCAAGCGUUAUCCGGAUUUACUGGGUGUAAAGGGAGCGUAGACGGUUAUGCAAGUCUGAAGUGAAAGCCCAGGGCUCAACCAUGGGACUGCUUUGGAAACUGUAGAACUGGAGUGCAGGAGAGGUAAGCGGAAUUCCUGGUGUAGCGGUGAAAUGCAUAGAUAUUAGGAGGAACACCAGUGGCGAAGGCGGCUUACUGGACUGUAACUGACGUUGAGGCUCGAAGGCGUGGGGAGCAAACAGGAUUAGAUACCCGAGUAGUC